AUCCAGCUGACAAGUCUCAAAUAGGACGAAAUGCGUAUCCUGGAU
rnacentral:hammerhead_ribozyme from 1 species